GACGAACGCUGGCGGCGUGCUUAACACAUGCAAGUCGAGCGGAAAGGCCACUUCGGUGGUACUCGAGCGGCGAACGGGUGAGUAACACGUGAGUAAUCUGCCCUUGGCUUUGGGAUAGCCACCGGAAACGGUGAUUAAUACCGGAUAUGACCACUCCACGCAUGUGGUGGUGGUGGAAAGUUUUUCGGCCAGGGAUGUGCUCGCGGCCUAUCAGCUUGAUGGUGAGGUAAUGGCUCACCAUGGCUUCGACGGGUAGCCGGCCUGAGAGGGUGACCGGUCACACUGGGACUGAGACACGGCCCAGACUCCUACGGGAGGCAGCAGUGGGGAAUAUUGGACAAUGGGCGGAAGCCUGAUCCAGCAACGCCGCGUGAGGGAUGACGGCCUUCGGGUUGUAAACCUCUUUCAGCAGGGACGAAGCGCAAGUGACGGUACCUGCAGAAGAGGCACCGGCCAACUACGUGCCAGCCGCCGCCGUAAAAC
rnacentral:rRNA from 1 species